UACGUAGGGGGCAAGCGUUGUCCGGAUUUAUUGGGCGUAAAGCGCGUGUAGGUGGCCAAGUAGGUCCGCUGUGAAAACUUGAGGCUCAACCUCAAGCCUGUCGGUGGAAACCCCUUGGCUAGAAUCCGGAAGAGGAGAGUGGAAUUCCCGGUGUAGCGGUGAAAUGCGCAGAUAUCGGGAGGAACACCAAUGGCGAAGGCGAGCUCGCUGGG
rnacentral:rRNA from 1 species